GCGCCUGUAGCUCAGUGGAUAGAGCGUCUGAUUCCUGCUCAAAAGUCGUAGGUUCGACCCUAACCUGGCGCA